rnacentral:rRNA from 1 species
GACGAACGCUGGCGGCGUGCCUAAUACAUGCAAGUCGAGCGAAUCACUGGGAGCUUGCUCCCGGUGGUUAGCGGCGGACGGGUGAGUAACACGUGGGCAACCUGCCUGUAAGACUGGGAUAACACCGGGAAACCGGUGCUAAUACCGGAUAAUCCUUUUCCUCUCAUGAGGAAAAGCUGAAAGUCGGUUUCGGCUGACACUUACAGAUGGGCCCGUGGCGCAUUAGCUAGUGGGUGAGGUAACGGCUCACCAAGGCGACGAUGCGUAGCCGACCUGAGAGGGUGAUCGGCCACACUGGGACUGAGACACGGCCCAGACUCCUACGGGAGGCAGCAGUAGGGAAUCUUCCACAAUGGACGAAAGUCUGAUGGAGCAACGCCGCGUGAGCGAUGAAGGCCUUCGGGUCGUAAAGCUCUGUUGUUAGGGAAGAACAAGUACCGGAGUAACUGCCGGUACCUUGACGGUACCUAACCAGAAAGCCACGGCUAACUACGUGCCAGCCGCCGCCGUAA